CGAAAGCCUGACGGAGCAACGCCGCGUGAGGGACGAAGGCCUUUGGGCUGUAAACCUCUUUUCUCAAGGAAGAAGAUCUGACGGUACUUGAGGAAUAAGCCACGGCUAAUUCCGUGCCAGCAGCCGCGGUAAUACGGGAGUGGCAAGCGUUAUCCGGAAUUAUUGGGCGUAAAGCGUCCGCAGGCGGCCGUUUAAGUCUGUUGUUAAAUCGUGGAGCUCAACUCCAUCACGGCAAUGGAAACUGUUCGGCUUGAGUAUGGUAGGGGCAGAGGGAAUUUCCGGUGUAGCGGUGAAAUGCGUAGAUAUCGGGAAGAACACCAGUGGCAAAAGCGCUCUGCUGGGCCAUUACUGACGCUCAUGGACGAAAGCCAGGGGAGCGAAAGGGAUUAGAUACCCCUGUAGUCCUGGCCGUAAACGAUGAACACUAGAUGUUGGGGGAAUCGACCCCCUCGGUGUCGUAGCUAACGCGUUAAGUGUUCCGCCUGGGGAGUACGCACGCAAGUGUGAAACUCAAAGGAAUUGGCGGGGGCCCGCACAAGCGGUGGAGUAUGUGGUUUAAUUCGAUGCAACGCGAAGAACCUUACCAAGGCUUGACAUCCUGCGAAUCUCCAAGAAAUUGGAGAGUGCCUUCGGGAGCGCAGUGACAGGUGGUGCAUGGCUGUCGUCAGCUCGUGUCGUGAGAUGUUGGGUUAAGUCCCGCAACGAGCGCAACCCACGUUUUUAGUUGCCAGCAUUCAGUUGGGCACUCUAGAAAGACUGCCGGUGACAAACCGGAGGAAGGUGUGGACGACGUCAAGUCAUCAUGCCCCUUACGCCUUGGGCUACACACGUACUACAAUGCUACGGACAAAGAGUAGCGAUCUUGCGAAAGUUAGCUAAUCUCGUAAACCGUGGCUCAGUUCAGAUCGUAGGCUGCAACUCGCGUACGUGAAGGAGGAAUCGCUAGUAAUCGCAGGUCAGCAUAUUGCGGUGAAUACGUUCCCGGGCCUUGUACACACCGCCCGUCACACCAUGGAAGUUGGCCAUGCCCGAAGUCGUUACUCUAACCUUUUUGGAAGAGGGCGCCGAAGGCAGGGCUAAUGACUGGGGUGAAGUCGUAACAAGGUAGCCGUAGCGGAAGCUGCGGCUGGAUCACCUCCUAA
rnacentral:rRNA from 1 species